CCUACGGGUGGCUGCAGUGGGGGAUAUUGCACAAUGGGCGAAAGCCUGAUGCAGCGAUGCCGCGUGGAGGAAGAAGGUCUUCGGAUUGUAAACUCCUGUCUUUAGGGACGAUAAUGACGGUACCUAAGGAGGAAGCUCCGGCUAACUACGUGCCAGCAGCCGCGGUAAUACGUAGGGAGCGAGCGUUGUCCGGAAUUACUGGGUGUUAAGGGAGCGUAGGCGGGGCGGCAAGUAAGGUGUGAAAUUUAUGGGCUUAACCAAUAACCUGAAUUUGAAACUGUCGCUCUUGAGGAAAGAAGAGGUUGGCGGAAUUCCUAGUGUAGCGGUGAAAUGCGUAGAUAUUAGGAGGAACACCAGUGGCGAAGGCGGCCAACUGGGCUUUUACUGACGCUGAGGCUCGAAAGCGUGGGGAGCAAACAGGAUUAGAUACCCGUGUAGUCGG
rnacentral:rRNA from 1 species